rnacentral:rRNA from 1 species
GACGAACGCUGGCGGCGUGCCUAAUACAUGCGAGUUGAGCGAUGAAGAUUGGUGCUUGCACCAAUUUGAAGAGCAGCGAACGGGUGAGUAACGCGUGGGGAAUCUGCCUUUGAGCGGGGGACAACAUUUGGAAACGAAUGCUAAUACCGCAUAACAACUUUAAACAUAAGUUUUAAGUUUGAAAGAUGCAAUUGCAUCACUCAAAGAUGAUCCCGCGUUGUAUUAGCUAGUUGGUGAGGUAAAGGCUCACCAAGGCGAUGAUACAUAGCCGACCUGAGAGGGUGAUCGGCCACAUUGGGACUGAGACACGGCCCAAACUCCUACGGGAGGCAGCAGUAGGGAAUCUUCGACAAUGGACGAAAGUCUGACCGAGCAACGCCGCGUGAGUGAAGAAGGUUUUCGGAUCGUAAAACUCUGUUGGUAGAGAAGAACGUUGGUGAGAGUGGAAAGCUCAUCAAGUGACGGUAACUACCCAGAAAGGGACGGCUAACUACGUG